UUCGAUAGCUCUGAUUGGCUGAAUAAGUCUUCAAUCACGUCUUCAAUGCGGAAGCCAUAGUGACGUGUCUUUCGACAUUCCUUCAACUCCUUCAGUAUUCAUUCAAUUCGACAUUCCUUCAAUAACCACGGUUAGAAAUGGAAAACGCAAUGUCGAAGCACAGGCCAAGGAGUCAGGCCCAAAGGAGGCGGAGGAAUGACCUGUCACAAUGGGGGCAGGUACAGAAGAGGUCUUGUAGGUUUGUUUUUUAGAUGAACAGGAUCGACACUUGAGCUACCAAGCCAGAGGUAGAAGCAGUAUCAGCAGCCACAGAUCUCCAGGUGUUGUCUACUGUAUGUUGUUAUUAUUGAUUAUAUAUUUUUUGUUGUUAUCAGUCUUCACACUGAGGGCCUGAUGUACUAAGAAUUAGCUCAAAAUUAGUGCAGUGCUUUUAGUGCUUUAGUGCUUUUCUUACUCAUACAUAUGCGUUUAUGGGAAGGUAAUAGGUGAAGUGGGAGUAUCGUGCAAAAACAUGGCAGGAGAAGUGCUAAUAGCUAUUGAUUAGGUAUUCUGCCAUGUAUGAAAACAGUACACACGUCUGUUUUGUGAUAAAAUAUCCACCUUUUAAAAAUAACAGUGUAAUCCAAAUUGCGGUUAAAUGCAUCAGCUAGAGAAACGUCCAACAGAGAAACUCGUAGAGAAACGAGACAACAGAAUCGGUAUUCAGAACACCAUUUUUUCUUCAUUGUACUAUGUCAGAAAACAACCUUAACUUUUCUUUGCCUUUAUAAUGUCGUACUUUCACGCCAUCCACUUCCCAAUCUGCUAGUAUAGGGUAUCAAGUAAGUCAUAGCAUACAUGAUCUACUACUGGUGUAUCUUAUUAUCAUGUAUGAUUGCAAAACUUUUUAAUGUUGCCAUCGAUUAACUCCAUUCAGCUGCACUUGUUCAGCUAUGGGCACUGCAAAUUGUGUCACAGGGCGGUGAGUAGGGAUUGACCAUUAUGGGU